GUGGAGCAUGUGGCUUAAUUUGACUCAACGCGGGAAAUCUUACCGGGUCCGGACACACUGAGGAUUGACAGAUAUAUACCCGUGAGUACUUCGGUGCUCGCGGGUUGAAAGAUGCUAGUUCUUUCAUGAUUAUGUGAUAGGUGGUGCAUGGCCGUUCUUAGUUCGUGGAGUGAUCUGUCUGCUUAAUUGCGUAUCAAUAAUAGAGACCUAGUAUACGCGUAGACUCAUGCGGUAGUGACCCCCCUUCACAGGGCGCGUGUCGCACGUAUGUUAUACGCACAGGUCUCCGAUAGCAACGAACGUGACCGUACUCUAUUGUUGCAGCGACAAUACCUUUCAACGGGUAUUACCGCUGCUUAGCAAGAUUCGUCUUGCAUUAAACUAUAGAGACCGCUGUUUCUUCUUUAAACCAGAGGAAGGAUACGGCAAUAACAGGUCU
rnacentral:rRNA from 1 species